UGCGUGGCAAGGAUUGAAAACAAUCGAUGCUGGGCCAGGUGGUUCCGUACCGCGCAGGAGCAAUGACGUGCCCAGCUUUGGGUCAGGGACAUUAUGGGAGGAGACACAGGUUUCCCUGUGCUGCCUGAGAGGUUUCCACCUGGCUGCCAGGCAUCACCCAGGGAUCACCUGCCGACUGCAAACUGUUGAGCUCUGGACUUGUUGAAAGCUGAUGCAAUUGUGCCUGUUUCUUCAGCUGGGUCAGCUAAUCAGAUGCUUCUGAUAAAGGCUCCAUUACCCCGCCUUUUGACAAGCCCUUCGGUCUUCCUGGGCCCUGACAUUGUUUCAACUCUUCCAGAAAUUUCAGCCGAAACUUCAUCCUAUCUGGCGAUGCAACUGCCUUACCAGAAGUUGUGGAGCAUGUGAGUGGAUUGUGAUAACUGCUUCUAAGACAUGCCUUCAAGUUUCGAGUAUGGAAAGGAAUCCGUGGAUGUGAUGGCCUUCUUAUCUUGGGCUACAGUGUAUGAAUCAAGGAGGCCGGGCAGUGUAGUCUGUCUGAGAGUCUCAACACUAAACAUAAAUAAUUGAAUCACA